AACGAACGCUGGCGGCAGGCUUAACACAUGCAAGUCGAACGCCCCGCAAGGGGAGUGGCAGACGGGUGAGUAACGCGUGGGAAUCUACCCAGAUCUACGGAACAACAGUUGGAAACGACUGCUAAUACCGUAUACGCCCUACGGGGGAAAGAUUUAUCGGAUUUGGAUGAGCCCGCGUUGGAUUAGCUAGUUGGUGGGGUAAUGGCCUACCAAGGCGACGAUCCAUAGCUGGUCUGAGAGGAUGAUCAGCCACACUGGGACUGAGACACGGCCCAGACUCCUACGGGAGGCAGCAGUGGGGAAUAUUGGACAAUGGGCGCAAGCCUGAUCCAGCCAUGCCGCGUGAGUGAUGAAGGCCUUAGGGUUGUAAAGCUCUUUCACCGAUGAAGAUAAUGACGGUAGUCGGAGAAGAAGCCCCGGCUAACUUCGUGCCAGCCGCCGCGGUAAAAC
rnacentral:rRNA from 1 species